rnacentral:rRNA from 1 species
GUGCUAAUCUGCGAUAAGCGUCGGUAAGGUGAUAUGAACCGUUAUAACCGGCGAUUUCCGAAUGGGGAAACCCAGUGUGAUUCGUCACACUAUCAUUAACUGAAUCCAUAGGUUAAUGAGGCGAACCGGGGGAACUGAAACAUCUAAGUACCCCGAGGAAAAGAAAUCAACCGAGAUUCCCCCAGUAGCGGCGAGCGAACGGGGAGCAGCCCAGAGCCUGAAUCAGUGUGUGUGUUAGUGGAAGCGUCUGGAAAGGCGUGCGAUACAGGGUGACAGCCCCGUACACAAAAAUGCACAUACUGUGAGCUCGAUGAGUAGGGCGGGACACGUGGUAUCCUGUCUGAAUAUGGGGGGACCAUCCUCCAAGGCUAAAUACUCCUGACUGACCGAUAGUGAACCAGUACCGUGAGGGAAAGGCGAAAAGAACCCCGGCGAGGGGAGUGAAAAAGAACCUGAAACCGUGUACGUACAAGCAGUGGGAGCACGCUUAGGCGUGUGACUGCGUACCUUUUGUAUAAUGGGUCAGCGACUUAUAUUCUGUAGCAAGGUUAACCGAAUAGGGGAGCCGAAGGGAAACCGAGUCUUAACUGGGCGUUAAGUUGCAGGGUAUAGACCCGAAACCCGGUGAUCUAGCCAUGGGCAGGUUGAAGGUUGGGUAACACUAACUGGAGGACCGAACCGACUAAUGUUGAAAAAUUAGCGGAUGACUUGUGGCUGGGGGUGAAAGGCCAAUCAAACCGGGAGAUAGCUGGUUCUCCCCGAAAGCUAUUUAGGUAGCGCCUCGUGAAUUCAUCUCCGGGGGUAGAGCACUGUUUCGGCAAGGGGGUCAUCCCGACUUACCAACCCGAUGCAAACU